GAGGCGCGAGGACUGCAGCGCGGCCAGGGGGCGGGCGGAGGCGCGGCGAGCCCCGCCCGGGGGCGGACAGUUGCGGGCUCCUGCGGGCGGGCGCCGUCACGUGACGCGCGAGGCGGGGGAUGCCGGGAGCCGGGCCGGCGGCCGGGGUGACGCUCCCAGACCACCGCAGAGGAAAAGGAGCCCGGAGUCUCUGCUGGGAGGGGAGCGAGAGGGCGACGCCAGGGAGACGCUUCGGAUGCUGCCAAGUCGAGCCGGUGGAAGGACGAUUACGGCUUCUCGUGCGUGGCCCCAGAAGGGCAGAAAUAGAAUCAGUGGGCGGAAAUUGCAGGGAGGAAACCAAUUCACAUCAGAUACAAAGGUCACUGAAAAGAAGCAAAUAUUUUAGUGGCAGCUAAGUCAACAAAAAAGAGAUCAGCACCGAAGGAAGGAAACUUGAUAUUAAGAGCUCUGGAUUCUAGAUCAAGAUCAUGCACUGAAUCGCUGAGUGACCUUGAGCCAGCCAUUUUUCUACUCUCUAAGUUUCUGUCGGCAAAACAAGGGAGCUGCUCGGAAGGGGAGCGGAGGGGAGGGGGAAUAAACCCUCGAGGCUCUUUCAAUUAAAACGCUCUUAAAGGCAGGGCGAGGCGGGAUGAUCACCCUCGCACUCCAGGCCACCGCGUGUACUUCUGACCCCGACCCGCAGACCCUAAGCCGCGCCUGCGCCCGCUGAUCUCGACCCACAUGUCCCACCCUCCCGCGACCACUCAGCUAGCUCAGCUCGCAGGCCCCCAGAGAACCAGAGUUGGGUGGGCGGUGUCCGCGAGCUCCCCGCGGGUCUCAUGGCCGCAGCCUGGAAGGACACUCACUGACUC